rnacentral:SRP_RNA from 12 species
CCCUGACGGCCAUCUCAUGGGCGGCCCUCUCCACGUCUGGAGGGAAGUGCGGGGACAAACUGAUGGCCUUGGAUUGUGA